GAUGAACGCUCGCGGCAGGCCUAAUACAUGCAAGUCGAACGGGUGGUCGCAAGACCACUAGUGGCGCACGGGUGCGUAACGCGUAACCAACCUGCCCCGAUCUGGGGGAUAGCCCGCCGAAAGGCGGAUUAAUACCGCAUAUACCCGCAGCCUGGCAUCAGGCCACGGGGAAAGAUUUAUUGGAUCGGGAUGGGGUUGCGUGACAUUAGCUAGUUGGCGGGGUAAGGGCCCACCAAGGCGACGAUGUCUAGGGGACCUGAGAGGGUGAUCCCCCACACUGGCACUGAGAUACGGGCCAGACUCCUACGGGAGGCAGCAGUAGGGAAUAUUGGGCAAUGGGCGAGAGCCUGACCCAGCCAUGCCGCGUGCCGGAUGAAGGCCUUCUGGGUUGUAAACGGCUUUUCUCAGGGAAGAAAAAGACCUUGCGAGGUACACUGACGGUACCUGAGGAAUAAGCACCGGCUAACUCCGUG
rnacentral:rRNA from 1 species